GUGUGAGUCCUGCUGGCAAAAUAGUCACACUCACUUCCAUAGGCGUUUGAGUAUAGGUAGGGAGUCUUCCACUCUGUAUAUGUGGUACGAUAUGCUUCCUACUGAACUCGUAAUCUUACUGUCUGAAACAGCACUUAUGCAUUCUGUCAUUUUCAUUUCAUGUAAUAAACCAAGCUUUCUUUGUCAACGUGUCUCUCAAGAAUCUUAAUGUAAUGCUAGUUUGUUUGCCUCUAAAAAUUACUGGGUCGCCCAUCUGACAUUUAAGAGGUCUUUAGGAUUGCCAGCCCAGAAUAAAAUUAAUUAUUUUGUGUCAGGAGUUUUAUUUAGGCAAGAAUAGAGGCAAACAUAUGCUCAUAAGAGGACAUGUUACAACUCUAGCAAAAGAUCCCCAAGUUCUCAUUGGUGUGUGUAUGAAUACACAUGAGUGGUGGACACAUGUGUGGGUUCAGACACACAUAGUAACAGUAACACCUCCAAGGUGGUUCUCCUCCUCCCUAUUUUAUCAUCACAACGACUCUGUAAAGUAAGUUAGGCUAAGAGACAGUGACUGGCCCAAGGUCACCUAGUGAGCCUCAUGACUAAGUGGAGAUUUGAACCCUGGUCUCCCAGGUCCCCAUCUGAUACUCUAACCACUACACAAUGCUUCUUCCAUUCACUCAGUGUCUAUGUUUGACCCCCAAAAAUGUUUUUUAUAUAAAUAAAAGCACAAACGUUUGCCUGAUUCUUCUUAUGCUAAAGCAUCGCUUCUCCCAAAUAACUCACAAAAAGUUUAUGCCACAGAAACCAUUGUCUUCUCUGAGGGAUGACAUCUUGACAAUUCAUAUUCUUAGCAACUCAUCCUCUACCAUCCACACAACAUGUGGUUAUUUAUUUGCAGAAUCUACUGGCAGAUUCUUAUGUGCUUACACAUCUCUGAAGCGCCUAAUAAAAGUGCUUAAAUACAUAACAGAUGGGUAUCUCACCCUGUGAUAAAUGUGUGAUGGGCACAAAGCUGUCAUCACAUCAUUCACCAACACUUUUUUGAUUUGUUCUCUGUGUUGCAUACUUCACUUCAAGAAACACAUUAAUGUUGCGUACAAUUUGGGAGAUUCAUUACUUCAAAGAAGAUCUUUGUUUCUCUCUUCUCAUGCAUGGGCUCUUGAAUACGCCCGCCAACCAUUACGAAACUUCAGCAUGAUUUCUGUUUUUCAUUGCCGCUAAUCUUUAAAGUUUGGAACAUUUAAUAAUAUAUGGAGAAUGUGCAUAAAUAUCUACGAUUAUGCAGAUUUGUAUGAUGGCAGGAAGAAUGUGCAUGAAUUGGCAGCCUAUUCAGAGUAAUUUGUACACUGGUUAUCAAUAUUGCAUCACCUCCAAAUGAUUUUUAGGAAUGUGUAAUCGCCUAGGGGAUUUUGAACAUUCUCUGGUAAAUAUAUGCAUACAGAACAAGUCCAAUUCUAUUUAUUCAGAAGUAAAUCCUAUGAAAUUCAAUGGUAAUUUCUCUCAAUUAAGUGUGCACAGGAUUUGAUCCAUCACAGUUUCAAUGAAACUACAGACAGAAGAAAGUACAGUGGUACCUUGGAAGUCGUAUGGAAUCCAUUCUGGAAGUCCGUUCGACUUCCAAAACAUUCAGAAACCAAGGCGCAGCUUCUGAUUGGCUGCAUGAAGUUCCUGCAGCUGACCAGGAGCCGCGGAAGCCGCGUCGGACAUUCGGGUUCCAAAAAACAUUCGCAAACCAGAACACUCAUGGGAUCAAAAACGUUCGACUCGCAAGGCAUUUGGGAUCCAAGGUGCAACUGUACUUCAUCACACAGUGCAUAGUUAAAAUUGGAAUUUGUUCCUACAAGAGGUCAUGAUGGACGCCAACUUCGACGGCUUUAAAAGCUGGUUGCACAAAUUUGUGGAGGGUCUCAGCAGUUACCCUUGGGAUCCCUCCUAACUCUACAGUUCUAUGAUUGUAUGGUUCUAUAAUGGUUCUGCAUUCACUGUCAGAGGCCGAAUGCCACUGAAAGCUAGUUUCUGGGACAGAGUGGGCAGAGUACUGUUGUACGCAGCUUUGGGGCUUCCCAAAAGCCUCUGGUUGGCCACUGUGAGAACAGAAUGCUGGACUAGAUGGGUCAUUGGCCUUCUUAUGUCCAAGUCUGCUUUACAGAUAAUGAACCAUCAGAAAGCAAAGCAACAUUUUGCAAUGUUGCCUCUUAGCUGUUAGCACCUGGGCAGCAGACUGAGCAGGCACACAGAUCACUAUAGUGAUCUUCCUCGCUAUAGUGAGACUCAUUUCUAUUUAAAUUCCGCUAAUUAUUUCUAAGUUUGUGUCUAUACAUAUAAUAAAUUAGCAUAUGACAAUUUUAUACAAACCUGUGUUCUCUUGCCAUUUUUUAAAAGAUCUGUUUCCUUUUUCUUUUUUGGCAAUGCAUAAUCCUAACCCUAUCCUAUAACAAAGAGAGCAGCUCAGUACCAUUGUCAGGCAGCUGUAGACACUGAGCCAAUGAAAAACACAGUGAACAAGAGGAAGCUACAUUCUCCUCUUACGCUGUCUCUCAAAGCACACUGGUCUUUCUUAAGUAGUCCCCUAGAAUCAGGGUUGGACCAAUAUAUUUUGCCGCCUGAGGCAAAGGACAUGGUGGGGGUGCAUCUCCCCAUUCCAUAUACAAGAGCUGACUGGACUGGCAGUGAAAUGGCCCAUCAACUUGGGAAAUGGAAUAGCAUCCUCUAAUGCAUGGGGGUGGGGAGCCUGUAGUACACAUGGCUCUGAUCAAAGGGAGCAAAGGGAAUGUACCUGCUGCCUCACUACGCCUAAUGCUAGGGCUGGCACUGCAAGGCAGGUUGCCCCAACAGUUCUCUCAGGCCAAUGAUCAGGAGCUGAUGGGAUGUGCUUCCUAGCCUUCCCAGCUUCUCCAUUGUAUCUGAGCUUCAUCAGUCCAAAUGGAGGGUGGAGGGCUGUCCAGGAAGAUCCAAGACAGCAGGAAAGGUGGAUCGGGGGAUCUCUGCCUUUCACAGUCUCCUCUGGACACUUUGAUUCAAACUCAUGCUAUAUGCUAUGCGUGUGUCUAAUCUAUACAGUGGAUGCUCGGGUUGCGAACGUGAUCCGUGCGGGAGGCACGUUCGCAACCCGCAGCGCCACAUCUGCGCACGCGCCAGUUGUGAUUCGGCACUUCUGCACAUGCACAAAGCAUGAUUUAGCGCUUCUGCACAUGUGCGAGUGCUGAAACCUGGAAGUAACCCUUUCUGGUACUUCUGGGUUUUGGUGUGUCUGUAUCCCGAAACCGUGCAACCUGAAUCGUCUGUAACCCAAGGUAUGACUGUACAGGAUGUGAGAGAAAAGGACAGAAAAUGUGUGCUUGGGUGUUAUGUAUUUUUAGGGAUUGACACCUCACUCUUC